UACGUAGGGGGCAAGCGUUGUCCGGAAUCAUUGGGCGUAAAGAGCGUGUAGGCGGUUCGGUAAGUCCGCUGUGAAAGUCCAGGGCUCAACCCUGGGAUGCCGGUGGAUACUGUCGGGCUCGAGUCCGGAAGAGGCGAGUGGAAUUCCUGGUGUAGCGGUGAAAUGCGCAGAUAUCAGGAGGAACACCAAUGGCGAAGGCAGCUCGCUGGGACGUGACUGACGCUGAGACGCGAAAGCGUGGGGAGCAAACAGG
rnacentral:rRNA from 1 species